UACGGGGGGGCAAGCGUUGUUCGGAAUUACUGGGCGUAAAGGGCUCGUGAGGCGGCCAACUAAGUCGGAUGUGAAAUCCCCAGGCUUAACCUGGGAACUGCAUCCGAUACUGGAUGGCUUGGAAUCCGGGAGAGGGAUGCAGAAUUCCAGGUGUAGACGGUGAAAUGCGUAGAGAUCCGGAGGAACACCAGCGGCGAAGGCGGCAUCCUGGACUGGUCCUGACACUCAUGAGCGGAAAGCGUGGGGAGCGAGUCCGG
rnacentral:rRNA from 1 species